GCGGACAUAGCUCAGUUGGGAGAGCGUCAGACUGAAGCGGAUUACAUCCGAUUAACUUCAUUCAAUCAAUCUGAAGGUCGUGUGUUCAAUCCACACUGGCCGCA
rnacentral:tRNA from 1 species